rnacentral:misc_RNA from 1 species
UGACAGCCUCUUCAUACGGAUCGGCAGGUUUAGUAAUCACAUCUGCAAGUCUAGGAACUUUUGAUUUAUGGUCUGGUAAUUCAUGAGGAUGCCUAUCAUAAGACAAAUCAAGUCUGGCUCCAGGUGUAUUUAGCGGUCUGCUUUUUAUCUCUUCAUUAACUCGCUUCCUAUCCUUUUCCACAGGCUUGGCAACUGAGACCUGGAUCUUGAAAUCCGGACCUCGCUUAGGACCUUGUACCAUUUUCCCAUCCAAUUCCCUGAUUGCUUUAUUUAGGUCCGAGCGGUUAACGAAGUGAACAAAGCCCACAGGAAAACGGCCUUUUCUUGAUAAUGCCACCUUCUCUAUCAUUCCAAUUGGUUCGAAAAGUAUCUUCAGAAAUUCCUCGUCUACAUCUGUUGGAAGGUUCCCAACAAAUGCAGUCUUUACCUUUGCUAGUUCCUCUGGAUCAAUCUCGGUCUCCUUCUCGGCCCAAUCGAUCACAGGAUGCCAAUCACCACUAAGCAGAAAAUCUG